GCGCUGGCUUUGGCAGCACAUGUACUAAAACUGGAACGAUACAGAGAAGAUUAGCAUGGCCCCUGUGCAAGGAUGACACUAAUUAAUAAAAAAAAAAAAAAAAAAAA
rnacentral:snRNA from 1 species